rnacentral:rRNA from 1 species
UAGGGAAUCUUCCACAAUGGACGCAAGUCUGAUGGAGCAACGCCGCGUGAGUGAAGAAGGUUUUCGGAUCGUAAAGCUCUGUUGUUGGUGAAGAAGGAUAGAGGCAGUAACUGGUCUUUAUUUGACGGUAAUCAACCAGAAAGUCACGGCUAACUACGUGCCAGCAGCCGCGGUAAUACGUAGGUGGCAAGCGUUGUCCGGAUUUAUUGGGCGUAAAGCGAGCGCAGGCGGAGUGAUAAGUCUGAUGUGAAAGCCCACGGCUCAACCGUGGAACUGCAUCGGAAACUGUCAUUCUUGAGUGCAGAAGAGGAGAGUGGAAUUCCAUGUGUAGCGGUGGAAUGCGUAGAUAUAUGGAAGAACACCAGUGGCGAAGGCGGCUCUCUGGUCUGCAACUGACGCUGAGGCUCGAAAGCAUGGGUAGCGAACAGG